rnacentral:rRNA from 1 species
AACUUUACAAUGCGGGAAACUGUGAUAAGGGGACACCGAGUGCCAGCAUCAUAUGCUGGCUGUCCGGAUGUGUAAAAUACAUCCGUUAGCAAGGGCCGGGCAAGACCGGUGCCAGCCGCCGCGGUAACACCGGCGGCCCGAGUGGUGAUCGUGAUUAUUGGGUCUAAAGGGUCCGUAGCCGGUUUGGUCAGUCCUCCGGGAAAUCUGAUAGCUCAACUAUUAGGCUUUCGGGGGAUACUGCCAGACUUGGAACCGGGAGAGGUAAGAGGUACUACAGGGGUAGGAGUGAAAUCUUGUAAUCCCUGUGGGACCACCUGUGGCGAAGGCGUCUUACCAGAACGGGUUCGACGGUGAGGGACGAAAGCUGGGGGCACGAACCGGAUUAGAUACCCGGGUAGUCCCAGCCGUAAACGAUGCUCGCUAGGUGUCAGGCAUGGCGCGACCGUGUCUGGUGCCGCAGGGAAGCCGUGAAGCGAGCCACCUGGGAAGUACGGCCGCAAGGCUGAAACUUAAAGGAAUUGGCGGGGGAGCACAACAACGGGUGGAGCCUGCGGUUUAAUUGGACUCAACGCCGGACAACUCACCGGGGACGACAGCAAUAUGUAGGCCAAGCUGAAGACUUUGCCUGAAUCGCUGAGAGGAGGUGCAUGGCCGUCGCCAGUUCGUACUGUGAAGCAUCCUGUUAAGUCAGGCAACGAGCGAGACCCGUGCCCACUGUUACCAGCAUGUCCUCCGGGACGAUGGGUACUCUGUGGGGACCGCCGAUGUUAAAUCGGAGGAAGGUGCGGGCCACGGUAGGUCAGUAUGCCCCGAAUCUCCCGGGCUACACGCGGGCUACAAUGGAUGGGACAAUGGGUCCCUCCCCUGAAAAGGGCCGGUAAUCUCACAAACCCAUUCGUAGUUCGGAUCGAGGGCUGUAACUCGCCCUCGUGAAGCUGGAAUCCGUAGUAAUCGCGUUUCAAUAUAGCGCGGUGAAUACGUCCCUGCUCCUUGCACACACCGCCCGUCAAACCACCCGAGUGAGGUAUGGGUGAGGGCACGGACUCUGUGCCGUGUUCGAACCUGUGCUUUGCAAGGGGGGUU